CGGGACAAGGUGAGUGGGGAGGUUGGCUUGGGGGCAGGACCUGGGGACCUGAUGUUGUUUGGGACCACAGCCUCCCACAAUCCUCCACAUACCCGCCUCCUGCCCCACACC
rnacentral:pre_miRNA from 1 species